GUAGGCUUUGCCUGCUAUCUCUUACCCAUGUCUUUUAAGUACCUUACGUUUCCUCGGCGGGUCCGCCCGCCGAUUGGACAAUUUAAACCAUUUGCAGUUGCAAUCAGCGUCUGAAAAAACUUAAUAGUUACAACUUUCAACAACGGAUCUCUUGGUUCUGGCAUCGAUGAAGAACGCAGCGAAAUGCGAUAAGUAGUGUGAAUUGCAGAAUUCAGUGAAUCAUCGAAUCUUUGAACGCACAUUGCGCCCCUUGGUAUUCCAUGGGGCAUGCCUGUUCGAGCGUCAUUUGUACCUUCAAGCUCUGCUUGGUGUUGGGUGUUUGUCUCGCCUCUGCGUGUAGACUCGCCUCAAAACAAUUGGCAGCCGGCGUAUUGAUUUCGGAGCGCAGUACAUCUCGCGCUUUGCACUCAUAACGACGACGUCCAAAAGUACAUUUUUACACUCUUGACCUCGGAUCAGGUAGGGAUACCCGCUGAACUUAA
rnacentral:rRNA from 2 species